GACGUAGGGUGCAAGCGUUGUCCGGAAUUAUUGGGCGUAAAGAGUUCGUAGGCGGUUAUCUAAGUCUGAUGUUAAAUACUGGCGCUCAACGCCAGCAUGGCAUUGGAAACUGGGUAGCUAGAGUACAGUAGAGGUCACGGGAAUUCCUGGUGUAGCGGUGAAAUGCGUAGAUAUCAGGAGGAACACCGGUGGCGAAAGCGCGUGACUGGGCUGUAACUGACGCUGAGGAACGAAAGCCAGGGGAGCAAAAGGG
rnacentral:rRNA from 1 species